rnacentral:lncRNA from 1 species
GGGCUAAUAGCCAUGGCCUUUAUGACCCUUUAGUGCUUCUGCAGUGUGAAUUCAGAUAGUGCUUGGCCUGAGUGGCAAGCUCUGGGGGCACUGGCAUUUACAGGACAGAGGUUCUGGAUAUAGGGUCCUGGAACCCACUCAGAUUUUCUUAAUAAACAUGCAUUGCUCACAUAGUAAAAAUUAUCUUUAAAAACACUUUAUAAAUUGUCCCUCUGAAAACAUCACAGAAAUAAAUGUAUAAAGUAACCUUUCCACUUUGAUGUCAGGUGAAACAAGCCCUGUAAGCCCUGUUUUACAUGGGAGGGUUUAUGGGUAUCAUUCACCUAUAGGAGGAAGUUGAAUACUCCCUUUUAGGCAGCUGACAGAUCAAGGACCCUGAAGUGUAAUACCUUCAAUAUUUUCAAGGUAUCUCUACAAAGUCUUCCCUGAAGAAGGAGCUCAAGUUGCAAUACUCAUAAUUCAUUCCAUUCUAAGGACCUAACUACUGACUUCUGUUUCUACACCAAGUUGCCAAUGUGCUGUGUAGGAGAAAACUACAGAGUUGCACCAAUGGACUCUCCUAUGUGUUUAGAAGACAGCAAAUCAAGGCAGAAGAGAGGAUCUGUGGUGGAUAGCAGAAAACUUGAGAAGUGAGUCUCACUACUCAUAUAUUAUCAAAACAAAGGAUCCAGGGUGGAAAUUCAAGCCAUCUGUGACCAACUCCAGCAGCAGGACUUUUAUGAACACAGUAUAAAACAUUAGUUUUGUUCAGGCAGGAAAUAAAAUCAUCAGGAAAAAAUUAAUUCUUUUCAAUGAGUUUUCAUUAAAAAGCCAUUCUAAGAAAUUGAUAACUUUCUCAUUCUUGCAGUUAAUCCAUUUUAUUGGUGUUUUGGGUGCC